CCUACGGGAGGCAGCAGUGGGGAAUAUUGGACAAUGGGGGGAACCCUGAUCCAGCCAUGCCGCGUGUGUGAAGAAGGCCCUCGGGUUGUAAAGCACUUUCAGUGAGGAAGAACGCCUGGUGGUUAAUACCCAUCAGGAAAGACAUCACUCACAGAAGAAGCACCGGCUAACUCCGUGCCAGCAGCCGCGGUAAUACGGAGGGUGCGAGCGUUAAUCGGAAUUACUGGGCGUAAAGCGCGCGUAGGUGGCUUGAUAAGCCGGUUGUGAAAGCCCCGGGCUCAACCUGGGAACGGCAUCCGGAACUGUCAAGCUAGAGUGCAGGAGAGGAAGGUAGAAAUCCCGGUGUAGCGGUGAAAUGCGUAGAGAUCGGGAGGAAUACCAGUGGCGAAGGCGGCCUUCUGGACUGACACUGACACUGAGGUGCGAAAGCGUGGGUAGCAAACAGGAUUAGAUACCCGUGUAGUC
rnacentral:rRNA from 1 species